GUUUGAUCCUGGCUCAGAGCGAACGCUGGCGGCAGGCUUAACACAUGCAAGUCGAGCGGGCAUAGCAAUAUGUCAGCGGCAGACGGGUGAGUAACGCGUGGGAACGUACCUUUUGGUUCGGAACAACACAGGGAAACUUGUGCUAAUACCGGAUAAGCCCUUACGGGGAAAGAUUUAUCGCCAAAAGAUCGGCCCGCGUCUGAUUAGCUAGUUGGUGAGGUAACGGCUCACCAAGACGACGAUCAGUAGCUGGUCUGAGAGGAUGAUCAGCCACAUUGGGACUGAGACACGGCCCAAACUCCUACGGGAGGCAGCAGUGGGGAAUAUUGGACAAUGGGCGCAAGCCUGAUCCAGCCAUGCCGCGUGAGUGAUGAAGGCCCUAGGGUUGUAAAGCUCUUUUGUGCGGGAAGAUAAUGACGGUACCGCAAGAAUAAGCCCCGGCUAACUUCGUGCCAGCAGCCGCGGUAAUACGAAGGGGGCUAGCGUUGCUCGGAAUCACUGGGCGUAAAGGGUGCGUAGGCGGGUCUUUAAGUCAGGGGUGAAAUCCUGGAGCUCAACUCCAGAACUGCCUUUGAUACUGAAGAUCUUGAGUUCGGGAGAGGUGAGUGGAACUGCGAGUGUAGAGGUGAAAUUCGUAGAUAUUCGCAAGAUCACCAGUGGCGAAGGCGGCUCACUGGCCCGAUACUGACGCUGAGGCACGAAAGCGUGGGGAGCAAACAGGAUUAUAUCCCUGAUAGUCCACGCCGUAAACGAUGAAUGCCAACCGUUAUGGGUUUACUCACUAGUGGCGCAGUAACGCUUUAACAUUUCCGCCUGGGGAUACCGUCCAAGAUAAAAUCAAAGAAUUUGACGG
rnacentral:rRNA from 1 species